rnacentral:misc_RNA from 1 species
GUAGGUGAACCUGCGGAAGGAUCAUUACAGAGUAUCAUGCCCUCACGGGUAGAUCUCCACCCUUGAAUAACAUACCUUUGUUGCUUUGGCAGGACGCACUCGUGCCAGGGGCUUCGGCUCCUGAGUGCCUGCCAGAGGACCCAAACUCUAAUGUUUCUUAUUGUAACUUCUGAGUAAAACAAACAAAUAAAUCAAAACUUUCAACAACGGAUCUCUUGGUUCUG